CAAAAAUAACAUAUUUUAGGAGGGGUUAAUUUUUGGGGGGUUUUGGAAACUCCGAAAAUUUCCAGCGAUUAAAACCUUAGGUAGUUUUUCAAUAUUAUUUUAUAAAAAUUUUAGGUGGUUUAUCACAUAUUCACCCCAAUUUAGCACCUCUCCCUCCUGUGCCUUCAUUUCCCAAUCUUCUAAUUUUCGCAAGCCCUAGAGCGUGUAUCCACAAGCUUCUCUCUACUGAGAUUUUCCUGCAAGCUGUACCCACAAGCUUCUUUUCUCUACUAUGAUUCUUCAAGCAAAGCCUCUUAUUGUUCGUGGAGCUCUUCGGUUUGGGUUCGUUUUUGUCUUCCGUUGCUUAGGAACAAAAACGUAGUGCAUUUCUGGGUUGAACGACUUCGACCGUCAAGGAAUUGUUCGUCGAAGGUCCUGGUGCCUCCAAUCGAGGGGCUCUAGCGUGUGUUUGCUCCCACACCAACCAUCAGGUAUAAUAAUUUGUUACAAAUAAUCCUAUCAUAGUGAAGUUGAUUCCUGCAACUGGCGUUAUCAAUUUUGCAAUAUAGGGUGUUGGUCCAUUAUUGUUCCAGACAAGGAAAAUACUCUUCCAGAGGAGUGAUAAUAGUUGGAAGAAAAGUACCACUGACUAUAUAGUAACUCCUUAACUUCGGCCAUUACUAUUAUGGACUGGAGCAAUACUUAUUUGCAGAGCAUUGGAGCCAUUAAUUCUACCUUCAGAACCAGGUUAGGUUGUUAAGGACCGGCUUCUGAAUUUUGUGAGAUCAUUAUCAACGGUUCUGGCCUUUGCCUAUUGUUUGUCAAGGUUCUACUAAGUUUUUGUUGUACCAGUUCACACAGAGUUUCAUUUUUUUUUUGUUGCAGCUGUCCUACAGUUGUAGUUUCUAUCUUUUAUUAAUAUUUUAUUUAUAAUUGUACAUUAAUUUAAAUUUAAAUGUUACUUGAUUGUAGACUUUCUGCGCUUCAGGACAUUGUAGCAAAGUUAUUUUCAUUUUCACAGCAGAGGCCAAGGGCUUUGUGCAGCUUAACUAGAACUGGAAUUGUUUCUUCUAUUACUCUACGCCAACUAGCUUCUACUAGCAUCAGUGUUUCCUAUGAGGCACGAUUGGGAGGCCAUUGAGUGGCAAAACCUGGACUUUGCGAGGCUAGGGGUUUUAUUUCGUAAAUAUUUUUUGAUACGCUAUCGUUGAAGCUAUCAAAUUAAUACUACUUUUCAAGGCAACUUCAGUAUUGGCAAGUAGUAUUCAAGAAGGUAGAUAGGGCUAAAGUAACCCUGAGUCGUCUCCCAACGAACACGGAA
rnacentral:sRNA from 1 species